GAUGAACGCUGGCGGCGUGCCUAACACAUGCAAGUCGAACGGAGCUGCUUUGAUGAAGUUUUCGGAUGGAUUUAAAACAGCUUAGUGGCGGACGGGUGAGUAACGCGUGGGUAACCUGCCUCACACUGGGGGAUAACAGUUAGAAAUAGCUGCUAAUACCGCAUAAGCGCACGGUUCCGCAUGGAACAGUGUGAAAAACUCCGGUGGUGUGAGAUGGACCCGCGUCUGAUUAGCCAGUUGGCGGGGUAACGGCCCACCAAAGCGACGAUCAGUAGCCGGCCUGAGAGGGUGAACGGCCACAUUGGGACUGAGACACGGCCCAAACUCCUACGGGAGGCAGCAGUGGGGAAUAUUGCACAAUGGGGGAAACCCUGAUGCAGCGACGCCGCGUGAGUGAAGAAGUAUUUCGGUAUGUAAAGCUCUAUCAGCAGGGAAGA
rnacentral:rRNA from 1 species